rnacentral:rRNA from 1 species
GCCCGCACAAGCGGAGGAACAUGUGGUUUAAUUCGAUGAUACGCGAGGAACCUUACCCGGGCUUGAAUUGCAGAGGAAAGAUCCAGAGAUGGUGAUGCCCUUCGGGGUCUCUGUGAAGGUGCUGCAUGGUUGUCGUCAGCUCGUGCCGUGAGGUGUCGGCUUAAGUGCCAUAACGAGCGCAACCCCUAUUUUCAGUUGCCAUCAGUUUAAGCUGGGCACUCUGGAGAGACUGCCGCCGCAAGGUGUGAGGAAGGCGGGGAUGACGUCAAAUCAGCACGGCCCUUACGUCCGGGGCUACACACGUGUUACAAUGGCCGGUACAACAAGAGGGCUGCUCGCAAGGUCAGUCAAAUCCUGAAAACCGGUCUCAGUUCGGACUGGAGUCUGCAACUCGACUCCACGAAGCUGGAUUCGCUAGUAAUCGCGCAUCAGCCAUGGCGCGGUGAAUACGUUCCCGGGCCUUGUACACACCGCCCGUCAAGCCAUGAAAGCCGGGAGUGCCUGAAGUCCGUGACCGGAAGGGUCGGCCUAGGGCAAAACCGGUAAUUGGGGCUAAGUCGUAACAAGGUAACCGUA